rnacentral:rRNA from 1 species
AUUGAACGCUGGCGGCAUGCCUUACACAUGCAAGUCGAACGGCAGCACGGGAGCAAUCCUGGUGGCGAGUGGCGAACGGGUGAGUAAUAUAUCGGAACGUGCCCAGUCGUGGGGAUAACGUAGCGAAAGCUACGCUAAUACCGCAUACGAUCUAUGGAUGAAAGCGGGGGGAUCGCAAGACCUCGCGCGAUUGGAGCGGCCGAUAUCAGAUUAGGUAGUUGGUGAGGUAAAGGCUCACCAAGCCGACGAUCUGUAGCUGGUCUGAGAGGACGACCAGCCACACUGGGACUGAGACAGGCCCAGACUCCUACGGGAGGCAGCAGUGGGGAAUUUUGGGACAAUGGGCGCAAGCCUGAUCCAGCAAUNCCGCGUGCAGGAUGAAGGCCUUCGGGUU